rnacentral:rRNA from 1 species
GACGAACGCUGGCGGCGUGCUUAACACAUGCAAGUCGUACGGUAAGGCCCUUUCGGGGGUACACGAGUGGCGAACGGGUGAGUAACACGUGAGUAACCUGCCCACAACUUUGGGAUAACGCUAGGAAACUGGUGCUAAUACUGGAUAUGUGCUCCUGCUGCAUGGGGGGGGUUGGAAAGCUCCGGCGGUUGUGGAUGGACUCGCGGCCUAUCAGCUUGUUGGUGGGGUGUGGGCUACCAAGGCCGGCACGGGUAGCCGGCCGGAGAGGGUGACCGGCCACAUUGGGACUGAGAUACGGCCCAGACUCCGACGGGAGGCAGCAGUGGGGAAGAUUGCACAAUGGGCGCAAGCCUGAUGCAGCAACGCCGCGUGCGGGAUGACGGCCUUCGGGUUGUAAACCGCUUUCAGCAGGGACGAAGCUUUUUGUGACGGUACCUGCAGAAGAAGCACCGGCUAACUACGUG